UACGAACUGUGCGAAUGUUAUUCGGAAUCACUGGGCUUACAGGGUGCGUAGGCGGCUUAGCAAGUCAGGUGUGAAAGCCCCCGGCUCAACCGGGGAACUGCGCUUGAAACUGUUAGGCUCGAGUCAGCUAGAGGUACACGGAACUUCCAGUGGAGCGGUGAAAUGUGUUGAUAUUGGAAGGAACACCGGAGGCGAAAGCGGUGUACUGGGGCUGGUCUGACGCUGAGGCACGAAAGCCAGGGGAGCGAACGGG
rnacentral:rRNA from 1 species